UGAGAUUUCAAAUUCUAUUUUGUUCUGCCCGACUUUUUGAGGAGAAAGACACCCUAGGACUUCUCCAAAUCAUAUAACUGAAUUGCUAAUCAAUCCCCAUGGAUAUUUCAUCAAAUUAACAAGUAUUAACACUAGAUUAACAUCUACAUCCUCUUAUUAUUUAAAAUCAACUCGAGAUCGUUUGAAGAGAAAUUUUUGGGUUUCGAGAGGUGGUAAUGAAGAAGAGCUGGUACACGUAAAUCGAACGGGCUAGGAGUACUUGUUGCUUUCGAGUUGUUGGUGCUUCCAAUAUGGCCCCUUUAGCAUUGUUUCGCUAGAGUCGGGUUUGAGGCGUAACGGCCAAAACUUACUUCAAUGGAAAGCUCUUUACAAGAGCUAUCAAUUUAUGUAAGAGUUGGGCCGCUUAUCAGUGGCCGGAUUUUGGUCAACCGGCGUUUGACCGGUCGGAGCUGUCUGGAGAUUCCUUCUGUCUUUUCUUUUGAGUUCGUUAGGUUAGACUGGUCCUAAUUUGUUGUUAUUUUGAUAACCAACGCUCAUGGCUAAUCUAGUUCCCCAGGAUAAUCCAGUGGCUCGGUUUUCCUUGUAAAUUAGAAGAUCGCUGGAUUUUUUGAAAGCUAAAAUUGGCUAGUACUGUAAGGGAUGUCACUAUAAUGUUUAUUCAUGGUUAGUGUAGCAAUGAACUUGAACACUUCCGAUUGCUGGCUAUGUAUGUAAUAAACUGAAUAAUUUCCUAGUUCAUUCUUGCUGAAAUCAAAAGUGAUUGUUGGGCCCU